rnacentral:lncRNA from 1 species
UCAAGAGAAUGCAUGGCUGGUACAGUUGAUGAGUGAUCUACAUCUACCAGUAGAUUAUCCAGUACCAUUGUACUGUGAUAACCAAUCGGCAAUUCGCUUGGCGGAAAAUCCAGUCUUUCAUGCAAGAACUAAACAUGUGGAGGUACAUUAUCAUUUCAUUAGAGAGAAGGUCUUGCAAGAAGAGAUUGAGAUGAGACAAAUCAAUACAGAUGAACAAGUUGCGGACUUGUUCACUAAAGGUUUGAGUUAGACUUAGCAGUUUUUGACACGACACGGUGACAUGACACGAAAAUGACACGAAAAUAAUAGGUUUCGAGUCAACACGAUAACUUAUCGGGUCACUAUCGGGUGACCCGUUAAGAACCCGUUAAUAACGGGUUCUUAACAGGUAUACACGCGGGUAACACGUGGGUAACCCGUUUCGACCCGUUAAGAAAAAAAAUUAUUUUAAUAAUUUUAAAGUUUAAUUACUAAAAGAUUUAUUAUAAAAUACAAUAGUCAUAUUAAUAUAUACAAUAUAUUCUAUAUUAAAUAUAUAGUUUUGUAUUAUCGUUCUAUAUAAAUUAUAAAAAAAAAAAAAAAAAAAGUUGUAGUCAUUAUUUAUUUUUAUUAUGAGAGUUUCUUAUUAUCAUUACUAGGAUAAAUUUUACAUAACAUAUUCUUGUUCAAAAUUAAAAUAUACUAGUAUAGUAUUUGUAUAUGCAAGAACUAAGAAGACAUACAUACAAGUAUGAAAAAUGUGAAAGAAUAUAUAAACACUUGUGAUUUAUCAUUAUUCCUCUACGAAUAGAUAAUUGUUACACUUAUAUUAUCGUUUAGAUUUUUUAAAUCCUUCAAACCCUCAUGAAUAAUGUUUUUUAUUUGAGGGCAAAAUUAAUAAAAUUAAUAAUAAUUAUUUUAGAAGUGUAAAAAAUGUAAAAAUAUAUAUAUAUACAAUCACUCAUAUAUAAAAAAAUGUAAAUGCUUUAAAUUAAAGAUCAAAUUUAUUCAUUACAUUCUUAUAGGGUCGAAGAGUGUAUAUGUACAAAAUCAUCAAAAUCAAAGCUAAAAUAACCGUUAAAUUGUAAUUUUUCGUUUAUAACCGUCGAAAACUUUUGUUCCGUUACGUAAUCUCUGAAUGUUUGUUUUUUACGAUAUUUUAAUUUUGCAAUCUCGUAAUGUGUAAAAAUAAGUUUGACAGUUGGAUCGUUGAAAAAAGUUUCGUAGAAUGCAUAUUGCAUCAAAACGGUAGAUUAAACAAACACUUCGAGUUAAUAUUAUACUUCUAUUAAGUAUAAAAUAAGUUUUUGUAGUAUCCACUAGUGUAAAUACUUUAAAUUAAAGAUCAAAUUUAUUCAUUACAUUCUUAUAGGGUCGAGGAGUGUAUCUGUAAAAAAUCAUCAAAAUCGGAGAUAAAAUAACCGUUAAAUUUUGAUUUUUCGUUUAUAACCAUCGAAAAGUUUUGUUCCAUUACGUAAUCUCUGAAUGUUUGUUUUUUAUGAUUUUUUAUGUAUGCGAUCUCAGAAUGUGUACAAAUAAGUUUGAUGGUUGGAUCGUUGAAAAAAGUUUUGUAGAAUGCAUAUUGCGUCAAAACAGUAGAUUAAACAAACACUUAGAGUUAAUAUUAUACUUCUAUUAAGUAUAAAAUAAGUUUUUGUGGUAUCCACUAGUGUAAAUACUUUAAAUUAAAGAUCAAAUUUAUUCAUUACAUUCUUAUAGGGUCAAGGAGUGUAUCUGUAAAAAAUCAUCAAAAUCGGAGAUAAAAUAACCGUUAAAUUGUGAUUUUUCGUUUAUAACCGUCAAAAACUUUUGUUCCAUUACGUAAUCUCUGAAUGUUUGUUUUUUACGAUUUUUUACGUAUGCGAUCUCGGAAUGUGUACAAAUACGUUUGACGGUUGGAUCAUUGAAAAAAGUUUCGUAGAAUGCAUAUUGCGUCAAAACGGUAGAUUAAACAAACACUUAGAGUUAAUAUUAUACUUCUAUUAAGUAUAAAAUAAGUUUUUGUAGUAUCCACUAGUGUAAAUACUUUAAUUAAAGAUCAAAUUUAUUCAUUACAUUCUUAUAGGGUCGAGGAGUGUAUCUGUAAAAAAUCAUCAAAAUCGGAGAUAAAAUAACCGUUAAAUUGUGAUUUUUCGUUUAUAACCGUCGAAAACUUUUGUUCCAUUACGUAAUCUCUGAAUGUUUGUUUUUUACGAUUUUUUACGUAUGCGAUCUCGGAAUGUGUACAAAUAAGUUUGACGGUUGGAUCGUUGAAAAAAGUUUCGUAGAAUGCAUAUUGCGUCAAAACGGUAGAUUAAACAAACACUUAGAGUUAAUAUUAUACUUCUAUUAAGUAUAAAAUAAGUUUUUGUGGUAUCCACUAUUGUAAAUACUUUAAAUUAAAGAUCAAAUUUAUUCAUUACAUUCUUAUAGGGUCGAGGAGUGUAUCUGUAAAAAUUCAUCAAAAUCGGAGCUAAAAUAACCGUUAAAUUGUGAUUUUUUGUUUAUAACCGUCGAAAACUUUUGUUCCGUUACGUAAUCUCUGAAUGUUUGUUUUUUACGAUUUUUUACGUAUGCAAUCUUGGAAUGUGUACAAAUAAGUUUGACGGUUGGAUCGUUGAAAAAAGUUUUUGGACCGCCAGCAAUAGAUAGUUUUGUAGUAGUGAAACCUUAAAUUUAUUUAACCAUCGAUUGUCAUUUACGCUUUAUUCUUCUUAUUGAAUUUCAUUUUUAAAAUUUUAUUUUUUGAAAACAUGAUCAUCUGGCGGAUGUAAGAAGAUGAUAUCACGUUUCGAUAUUUACGAUUAACUGAAAUAUGAGUCAAUGUCAUAUAAUUUGUAGAAACUUUAUAAACAUCAAGCAAUAUUUUCACUAACCGUAAAACUCUAAAUAUAAUAUCAACAAUCCAAACCGUUCAUCUACCUGCACCCUCUAAUAGAUCAUGUUUUCAAAAAAGAAAAUCUGAAAAAACGAAAUUUGAUGAGAACAAUGAAGCAUAAAUGUAAACAACAAUCAACGGUUACAUUUUGAUCUAUGAAUUAUAUGAUUAUAGUGGCGAAUUUCGAAGUUAAGCUCUUCAUGAAAGUUAUAAAGCUUGUCAUUACGAGUGUUUAUAUAUUUUUUUCUAUAUUUUUUUACACUUCUACAUUAAUUAAAAAACUAUUAAAGACUUUAGGUAAGCGAAAAUAUACUUAAAACAAAAUUGUGUUUUUAUGUUUUGGAUGUGAUAAUAUGGAAUAUAUAUACUUAUUUAGUAUGAUGUUUUUCAUUUGAUUAUUUAUUGGUUUAAAAUAUAUUUUCCUUAACGGGUAACGGGUCGGGUCAUAUUACCUGUUAAUAUUAUCGGGUCGAUUUCGGGUCGGGUCAUUUUACCCGUUUAUUUUAACGGGUGUUACACGACACGACACGACCCGUUAAGAUAUCAGGUAUGACACGAAAACGACACGAACACGGAAAACACGACACGAAUGCCAAGUCUAGUUUGAGUACUGGCAAGUUUGAAAAGUUUCGUCAUCAACUCAGCAUGGAGAAAAGAAUGAGCUGGUGUUGAGGGGGAGUGUUAAAAGAGCCCAACCCCAGCCCAUUCCACACAAAUCCAAGCACCAAAGUCGGCGCAGCAUGCAGACAUGUCAAUAUGCUAGAUAAUUCUAGCAUUAUCUUAUUAAGUCGGUGGAUGUGUGUGUAUAAUCAUGUGCUAGAAAGCUCUAGCAGCUUGUACAAUUGUGUGGCUGCCAUGCAAAGCCCAAAGGCGAUGGGCAAUUGUAGUCGGCAAACACCACCUAUAAAUAGGUGUGUGAUGUUGUGAAAGCAAUCAACAAACAAGAAAGAAGUAAUCAAGCAAGCAAGCAACCAAGUGAGAGUGAGAAGUAAGAGUAGUCUUGUGAGGAGGAGUGUGAGUGAUUUAGAGUUUGUCUCUAGAAAGUGAGUGAGUGUCAUUGCUUCUAAAGUGUGUCUUUAUGUCCUUUUGAGUGUUGUAAUAUUUUGUGUGUGUAAUACAAGUAAUUUGUUUACUUGUGUACUCUAAGUUUUUCCUCAACAAUUGCAGCCAAUGUAUUCUACUGUGAUGGAUCGCAGGCAAUCUGGACUGAGUUACGCGAAUGUUUCUCCUAGGUAAACAACGUUCAACUCUUCCAUAUUGAGAAUGAAAUGCAUGAUUAUGUUCAAUUCUUCAACACAUGAUGAACUUUCAGGUAAGGCUUUCUGUUUCUCUUCUCAGGGUAAGAAAGCCACAUGGAUCCUCGAUAGCGGGGCGACUGAUCAUAUCGUUUGUAGCCCUAAAUUACUUACAACUUGGAAAGCUGUUAAAAAUAAGACAGUGGAAUUACCAGAUGGCUCCCUUGCUAAUGUUACACAUGUUGAUGAACCACAAAUCAGAAACUCAAACUCAUCUCACUAAUUUCAUUAGCAUGGUUGAAACACAAUUUUCUUCCAAAAUUAAGGUUGUGCGUAGUGAUAAUGGCCCUGAAUUCACAGUGAAAACCUAUUACUUGUCCAAAGGUAUUCUUCACCAAACUAGUUGCAUUCAUACCCCACAACAAAACGGAGUCGCUGAACACAAACAUACACUUACUCAACAUGGCACGAGCUUUGCUUUUUCAAGCCCACCUUCCUAAACAGUUUUGGGGGGACUCCAUUUUAACUGCAACUUAUCUCAUAAAUCGCACACCCACACCAGUUUUGAAGGGUAAAACACCUUAUCAGCGGUUGUUCAAUGUCACACCUACUUACUCACAUUUAAGGAUAUUUAGGUGUUUGUGUUUUACUUCCACUCAUGCUCAAAAGCCAUCCAAAUUUGAUGCACGUGCAACUAGGUGCAUUUUUCUUGGUUAGCCUUAUGUGAAAAAGGGAUAUCAAGUAUAUGAUAUAGAACUUCGCAAGGUGUUUGUGUCUCGGGACGUCACUUUCUUCGAACAUGAAUUUCCCUUUAAACACACUUCCGCUGCCAAUAAGAGUCCUACAAUUUCCUCUCCCAUGGACCCCACCUUUGAUGAUGAUCCUGUCACACCCAUACCACAAAACAACACCGAUACUUCUCCUCUAGAAAAUCCUAAACCAAUUACUACCGAAAUCGAAACACCAUCUUCUGUUUCUUCACAACCAAUGCUUCCUCCACAUCCUCCAACACCUCUUAUGCAUCGCCAUUCUAAUCGACCAACCACACGGCCUGCCUUCCUCCAAGAUUUUCAUGUGGAAGCAACCCUCCCAUCAAGGCUUGGACAGUCAUUCGCCUCUAGCGUGGUCACCAAAUCAAGUACCCCAUAUUCUCUAUCCCAAGUUCUUUGCUAUGAUCGAUUGUCAUCUUCACAUAGAGCUUUCACCACAUCAUUAACUGUUGUCAAAUAACCAACUAGUUUCUUACAGGCCAUGAAAGAUUCUCGUUGGCGUCAAGCUAUGCAUGAUGAGAUUAAAGCAUUGCAAGCGAAUCAAACAUGGACCCUUGUUCAUCUGCCACGGGACAAGAAACCUAUUGGGUGUAAAUGGGUUUACAAAGUGAAGCUCAAACCUGAUGGGACUGUUGAGCAUUACAAAGCUCGUUUGGUUGCCAAAGGUUAUAGCCAAAUUGAAGGACUCAAUUAUCGAGAGACUUUUGCACCGGUUGCUAAACUGACUACUGUGCGUCUCCUACUUAGUGUUGCCGCCAUUCAAGGAUGGCAUCUUCAUCAACUUGAUGUCAACAAUGCAUUCUUGCAUGGUGACCUUGAUGAGAAUAUUUACAUGUCUCUACCACCUGGAUUCAGACGAAAGGGGGAGACUCAAGUGUGCAAACUUAACAAAUCAUUAAAUGGUUUGAAACAAGCUUCCAGGCAGUGGUUUUUGAAAAGUUAUUGAAUAUUUUGAAAAGUUAUUCACCAAAUAUUUUCUCUUGAAUUGUAAUUAAUAUAAAAUGCAUUAUGAUUUGAUUUCUAGCUGGUUAGGGGUUUUACCAUUGUGAUUGGCUGCUUGCUUUACAACUUCUGUUUGUUUUACUGUUUCCUGAGCUUUUCAAUAAAUAAAUCUGGCUCUUUUCAAUUUAUACGAUAAGACGGUAAGGGUGUGUUUGUUAGGGAUGAUUGGGUUGGAUAGGAUAAUUGCUAGAUUCAAGGAAUAUCCAAGUUGAAGGUAGAAGACAAGUUACUCAUGAAGGAAAGUUGUCCAUUCGAAUACCCGCAAAAAGGUAGGAUUAGAUGGGGUAACUUUCCUCUCUGAUCAUCGUCUUCAACAUUCGACUUCGACAAAUUUGGGAGUUGCGUUCCAUUUUCCCCUUGAAUAUGCCUUGAAUCUAGUGAGUUAUGCUACCCAAGCUAAUCCUCCCUAACAAACGCACCCAAACAGUUUCCACGAGCGGUUUUCUUGACAAAACUUUCUUUUAGCACCGUGGAGGUAAGGGGGGUGUAUUCAAUUGAGAAUGUGAGAGAUUUUAAUGGAUUUAUAAAUCCAUGGAUUUUUAUGGAGUUUAAUUGAUUUGUAGAGAUUCCAUAUAAAAUUUUGAUUCAAUUCCCUCGAAAUCUCAUAGGAAGAGGUGAGAUUUGUGAAUGCUUAAAAUACACUACGAAAUCUCUUCAAUUCCCUCUAAUUCCUCAACUUUCUCAAAUUCUUUAAAAUCAAUUUCUAAUUGAAUACACCUGGAAUGUUAUAAACUUCUUUAAAAUCUUAAUUGAAUACACCUAGAUUUAUAAGGAUUUUAAUAAACUAUUUUAAAAUUCUAAUUGAAUACACCUAGAAUUUCAGAGAAUCACUUAAAAUCAUGAUUGAAUACCCCUAGAUUCAUUAAAAGAAUUAAAAUCCCCUAAAAUCCCAAUUGAAUACACCCCCCUAAAUCUAUGAUAUCCAACGAGGAGGAAUUGUACCAAUACUUGUGGAUGCAGUCUAUCUGUAGUGACUUGAAGUUCUAUCUUAACUUCACAUCUUGUUUGUUCCCUUGGCUUAUGCAUAUGAGAUUUUUUUGCAUUAGGUUCUUGAAACAAGGAAAUAUAACCGAAAACAGAAGUUUCAAUCUUUUUCUGUCAACAUAACUAGUUAAAGGAAAUCGAUUUGUCUCUAUGUUAGGUGGUCUUAGAAACAGUGGCUUAAGAGGUAUAAGAUUUGUCUCUGUAUUUCUCUCCACAUCAAAGCAUUCUUUAUAUUUAAGAUCAAUUAAGUGUCGAAUUAUAUCUUUUGAGGUGAAACUGUGGAUGCCAAUUAAGGUAGCUUAUGCAUAUGAGAUUCGUUAAACAAGGAAACAUGACCUUAAACAGAAAUUGCCGUCUUUUUCUUUAAACACAGGUAAUGGAAGGAAAUUUUGACACUUUCAGCUAUCUUAGGUGGUCUUUACAAACAGUUGCUUAGGAGGUAUAUGAUUCGUCUCUAUCUUUAUUUCUUUCCUUACAAAACCGUUCUUUGUAUUAAAAUCGAUUACCAUGAUUCCAUCUUGUGUCUCUACUUGGCAUAAAUUACAUCUACUUCUUUUGAACAGUUUGAAAGACUUGCCAGUUAUAUCUACUUCUUUUGAAUUGAAACUGUGGAUGAUGAUAAAGGAGGUUGAAUGUUAGAUUUCAGUUUGUGGAUUUUUCAAUGAAUUGCUCCUGGUGCUUAUUUACCUGAUCAACCUUUCAAUUGUACUUUUGUUAUCAGAGGCUUGCCAUGUUACCAUAAAUUUGAAUUUGGGCUGAUGAUGUGCAUCGUAAUCGCUAGGUGAUGAAUCUGACGGGUAUAUUGAAUCCAUUUUUUAAUUGCUGUCAUGGGAACCGGGUGUGGUAAUCUGAGGUCACAUUCACUAGUUAUGACCUUACUCAGAGCAUUCUCUUCCAGCUAUCCUUUUUUAUUCUUCAUACAUAUUUCCUCCUAUAUGCCUUAUCCAUAAAAGCGGACACCUCCGGUUGUUUAUAGCCAAAAGUUCUGUAAUUGAUGCAACACCUUUCACUACAUCAGUGUCAAACCGACACAGAAGAGUACAUGGAUUUUAAGGCCUCCUAGUCAAGUUGAAUUUUCCACAUUUGGAGCAUGUAAGCUGUCCUUUUCGUAGCAUUUGCAUUCUGAAAGCUGGUAUACGUUUACAUCAUGAAUUAUACUCGGAAUUCUGCGGUUUCAAGUGACCACAGGUUUUUGUGGUUUGCGGCCUCAGAUUACGGAUUGACUUGAACACUUGUGGUUUUGGUUCACCAGAUCACGAAAAGAAUGCAAAGGAAUGACUUCACAAGGACUAGAGAUUUAAAUGACUUCACAAGCUCUUGACCUCUUCAUGCAUACGGUGGUUCUGCAUAAUUGUUGAGAAAGUCUACUUAUGUGGAAGAAUGGUCAAAGUUUUAAAUUUCAAUUCAGGUUUUUCCUAGAACAUGCCAAUGCAUAUUAUAAUUUCCUUGACCAGGUCCGCGUGGAAGAUGGCAAGGAAACUGCUUCGCAUAUUGUCAAGUCGAGAAAAGAGGCCUUAUCAUAAGUUCAUAACACAAGAGAUGGAUCAGUCGUUGACAUUUAAUCUCUCAGCAGCUCAUCCUUUUUAGUAAUCGAACGAUCAUGGAUUCAACGACCAAUGAAGGAGCCUCUUCCUCUUCGUCUUCUUCUUACAUCCAUUCAUGGACACAGUGGCGAAGCUAGAAAUUUUCAGAGGGAGGGGCGAAAUUUAAAAGCGUAAACCGUUCAAAGCAAUGUAGCUUACCUUUUAGAUAGUACACAAUAUUAAUAUCGUUCAUUAUUUAUCAAUAUAAACAAAUUACAAUUGUUGCCAAUGAGGUUUCAUGCUACGAAAAUGUCACAUCUAGGCUCAUUACCAAUAAAAGAAAAAACAUCUCUCUCAAUUAAAUCUUAAGGAUGAAAUUUAGCAAAACAAAUUAUUUUUUGUUGUUGGUCAAAAGAUGCAAAAUUAUUUACCGAAUUCAAAUAUGCCCUACAAAGAAGCAACUCAAUGUUUAUCUCAUUGAAGCGAUCAUUCAAUUCUUUGAGUUGCAUAUGAAGGACCUGAAAAUAGAGGUCCACACGAUAGUAAUGGAAGUUUAUAAGUCUUUGAGCUUUAUGUUUUGAUUUUCUGAGUAUAAAAUGCAAAUCCUCAAUAUUAGGAACAUUAAUAUUAUUUUUCUCACAAAUUUUUAUACAUUAUGAAACAAAUUCUCAAAGUAAUCAUCUCUCAAGGAUUGAAAAAAAAAUGAAAUAAUUUAAAUUCUGGAAACAUAACAAGAAUUAAAAAAGACCAAUAGUAAGCAUCAACCUCUUGUUUUUCUUUAGUCUAAACAAAUGAAAGAGAGGAAAGAGAAUUGAAAUGGUGGAAACAAUAAUCAAUUAAAAGCAUAGUCCGGUUGGAAAAAAGUCCACAUCAAUAUAAAAUAAAAAAAUAAAAAAGAAAUUAAAGGAUCCCACCGUCAAACCGCACCGUUUAGUUAAAAGUAACCAAGUUUUAUGACUAAUAACCAAAAACAGGCAAACGACGCUGUGUGGUUUGAAACAAAAUUAGGUCGUCUUCUUCCCUUGAAAUCAUUAAAACCCAACGGUGCAUUGUAAGAUUGUGAAUGAUAAUGAAUGUUGUAUUGGAUCGUUUUGUUGUAAGCCACUUGUCUAUCAAGUUGUUAGCAACCAAAGUGAUCCGAUAGUCCUAACAUAAUAAGGAUUAUGGAGUCUAAACCUUUGCAAUUGACUUAAAGAAAUCUGAUGGAUUUCACUACAAAGAUAUAGUAUCAUGGUGGGACUUAAAUACUUAAGUGAUAGGAUUUGAUUUUCACAACCAAUAAUAGGCCGGCUGUGAUUAAACCCUAAUGAUAUAAAUACUAUGGUUAAGUCCCUGCUUCCAUACGCUCAAUCUCUAAAAAUACGCUAAACCCUAUUCACAGCAGAGAGAUAUUUUGAAGUACUGGAAGUAGAAGACGACCAAGAACUCUGCAAUGUCUUCCGUAUUCUACAAAUAAGUUUAAUAUAAUUAGUCGAUCUCUAUUUUAUAUAUUGAUUUGAUUUAUUCGUGAUCCUAAUGUCUUGUUGUUGUGAUUUCAGAAUAUGUCUUACAUGUGGUAUCAGAGCCGCACAACAAGCUUAGGGUCCGAUAUAAAGGUAUAAGCAAAUUUGUUUAUUGAAGAUGAUUCACAUACUAAAGAAAAUUUGCUUAUCGUUUUGGUUGGAUGCCUUCUACUGUUCCAUCUCAUGAAAAUUUGUUUUGAUGCUUCCGCAAUUUUGUGUUGGUAUGCAAUCAUUUUCAUGGUUAAUAACAUAUGGAUUGGUCUAGGGGUGACUAUGCAUACUGCUGCCUUUAAAUAGUUUUCAUGAAAUUUAAUUAUUUAUUUUUCUUGUUGGCUCUCAUUUAAUUAUUAAGAGUGGGUUUGUUUUGGUUUGAUUAAUCGUGCUCUUGUGAUAUGAUUCUGGGGUUUUUCUUGCUUCCGCGGUUUUUUUUUUUUUUCUUCUUGAAUGGAUAUGUUAACCUUGUAUUGCCGAGAAGAUUGUGUCAUCUAUGUUGUGUUUUCUGCAAAAUUUUUCUUGCAAUUUUUUUUUAUCACGUUUACCUGGGCAUCAAGAUAAACUGAAAUUAGGUAUACAACUCCAACUAGGUUUGUUGUAUGCGACUUUAUGGACUGCUAUUUGAUAAUUAUGAAUUGAUAAUUCAUAAAUAUAUAUAUAUAUAUAUAUAUAUAUAUAUGCAAGGUCACUAUUGUUUUCGGUGAACGAUGACCUAAUCUUAUCUUGGGUAAUAUUUUGAUUUAUUAUAUAAUUUUCUGAUUAUUAAUUUAGUUGAUAAAUAUUACCGGUUCCUAUUUGAUUAAAAAAAAAAAAAAAAAAAAAAAAAAAAAAGGAAAGGGUUAAAACAUGCGAACAGUAAAGAAUUUCUCCCCCGUGUGAGGGUUUCUGUUCAUCAAUGCCUAGCUUACACCAACCUCCUUCAAUCACUGUAAUGCUCGAAUUGAAGCUUGAAAUUUCGGGGUAUUCAUGCGAAGGUAUGAAACUGCUUUUCAUAAAUUAUUGCAAUUUGGUUGAAUUGAAAUUAAGCUUUUGGUUCCAAUCGAAUUGAUUUUGUGAUAUUAUAAUUGAGAAGUUGAAAACUAUCAUGUUGUUUCUGAGCAAAUAUAGUGUUUUCAUUUGGGAUUAAUUCAAUUUUGCAGUUUUCGACUCUUAUCCUUAUAGUGCAUAUGCAAAUGAAUAAGUAAGUUUUAGUUCUUGGUUAUUUCUCUAUGAAGUGAUAGUCGCUUCUAUUAUUGCAAUGAAUAUUACUUUUAGUAUUCUUUGAAAUCGAUUGUCCGUUUCAAUUAUGACAUAGAAAAGAAUAAACAUUCCUUAAGUGUUUUUAUGUGACUGAUGUAAUUUUGAUAUGAAAAUCAUUCAGAUCAAUAAUUUCCGUUUGAUAAGACUUCCCUAACAUCAAUAACAUAUAAUAUUUUGUCAUGUAAAUGGAUUUUAGACGCUGGUAUUUUUUCACGUUUUUUGGACCAGAAAUGGAUUUAUGGUAAAUUUUUAAGUGUGAUACCUUAGUGUUGGAAUUCUGCAGACUUCCGCAGAAUAGUCUGCUUGUGAUAUUAUUUUGAAAUAUCUAUGUGACUCAUAAAUUCAUGAAAUUUUAGUAUGAUAUACAUUGAGAUAUUUAUUUCAAAUCUGGAAAUUUUGACGAGCAUUGGUUUAAAAAUGAAUUAUUGGUGAAUUUUUAAUCUCGGGACUGUCUUGCAGAAUUUAUGAGGUUUCUGCAGAAAAUUCCAUUUCGAUUUUAUUUUUAGCCCACUUUUUAAAAUCGCAUAAAUCAUGGAAUUUUUGGGUAACAAUAAAUUUACAUGUCUACUUUAUUUCUGCAAAUUUUCAUACACAUUGGAGGAAGAUUGAAGUUUUGGUGAAUUAUUUAGUCUCGGGUAUGUACUGAACAUUUUCUGCUGUUUCUGCAGCACCUCUCUUUUCAAAUUCAUUUUUGGCUCGCUUAUAAGAUUUUAAAAAUCAUGAAAUUUUGCAAAAUAGUAGUCAUAUAUGUCUAGUUCAUACUUGAAAAUUUUCAUGACAAUCUAAAGAGAAUUGAGUUUUUAGUGAAUUUGCAAACUAAAGUAGUACUGCUGAAUUUUGGUACUUCAAACUAGUUUUGUUAUGUGAUAUUGUUUGACUGAUUUGUGUACAUCAAUUGGUACCAAUUAUUGUACAAGUUUAUGGUUCCAAUAUGUCCUUAUGUUAUGCAAAUUCUCAAUACUAAUGAAUUUUAUAAACAACACUGAUUAAAUUUUGAUUUAAAGAUGUAUUGGUUUGUUUUGUUUAAACCAAUGUUUUGUUUGGUCUUCAAUUCUGAUUAUGAUGAUAAUUGUCUUUUGAGAAAAUUGGAAAGUGGAAUUAGUUUACUAAUUGAUCAUUUUGGUCCCUAUCGAAUAACUGAAUAACCAUGUUUCUUCUUUUGAGAACUCUAUUGUUCAAUGUCAACAACGACAUACUUUUUGUGUCUGAUUGAAUCUUUUGAGAAUCAUUGAAUAUCCAAACAAAACGGUUAUUUUAAUACUGUUCUAAAAGAUUAUUUUGAAAAAUCAGAAUUCUAAUUUAUAUGGUGAAUACUUUUGUCCCAAUGGGAAAUUCAGGAAAUCACUCACCAAUUAUAAAUUAGUAUUAUAACAAAUCAUAAAAUACUUUUAACAUAUGUUCAUCUAGCCAAAGCUGUUGAAGCUAUAUGUAUUUUGUGUAUUUUAUGUUUUGGCUAGCUAUGCAGGUAUUUUAUUUGCAUGAUUAGUUUCUGCCCAAAGGUGUAACAAUCAUGCAAAUUGGAGUUGGUUCGAUCCUCCACAACUCAACUACUUCCAUGAUGAAUCUUGCAGAAUCGAGAAUGAGUAGGUAAAUUUUGCCAAUCUUUUGCCUUAAUUUUUCAGUGAAUUCUAAAUUGGAUUAAAAUUAUUGUUGAAAAAGUUGAUGUUGUUGAGAUAUCUAUGUGUUUACUUUUAUCGACUUUGUUUUAGAAUUAAAACAUAAAUUUUGAGUUUGGAUUCUCUUAUUAGGUUUCAUUUUACUUUAUGACCUAAUCUUUAACACAUAUGUGGGUCUUCUCUCAUACACUAAAAUAAAUUUUGUAGCCAUUGGUUUAUCUAAUCACUUGUCACUUUUAGAUCGAUUAAUAAUGUUGAGAUAUUGUUCCUUUUAUAAGCCUAAUUUUGAUACAUGGAUACAUAUAGAUUGGUUUUAUUAUGUCCAAACCAACUAUUUUGUGACUCAACAAAUUUGUGUAAGAAAUUUUAAUGUUUUGGGCAUAUUAGAGGUUAUUUAUCUAAUGAAAUGAACCUUUAAUUUAUUUAAGAAAUUUUUGUUUGUGUUUUGAGCAUAUUAAAGAUUGUAAAUUGGUUUUUAUUUAAAUUAUGAUUAAAUCUAAAAUUUUGGUAGAGCUUGGGAAAUACUGAUGGAGUUUUUUACAUACCUUGCAACAAAUCCUAUUUGAUUACAAUUUUUGAUAAAUUUUCUAACUCCAAACUUUGUAAAAAAUUUGUCAUCUCUUAUAUUAUUAAUGGAUUGUGUACACUAUCUUUAUUGAUUCAACUAGCCUAUAUUUUGUUAUAUGAAAAACCACUUUCUCUAGUGUUUAAUCUUGCAAUUUUGAGUGUUUUGCCCAAGUGGGAGAAAUAAUGUAUUAUGGGCUUCACACUCAUCAAUUUUGCAUGCUUUUAAUGAUCAUAGUUUUGGUAGAUAAAACGUACAUUAUCAUACUUGUUUAUAUUUUAUUUGUUACAUAUGCAACUAAUCUUGUAAGAAAUUCAAGAAGGGUUAAUGAGUAUAUUCUGCUCAAAAGUGUUUUGCUUAUUAAUUCUUGUAUGUUGUUCAAGAAAUUGAACUUGUGAUUUAUAUGUUAUUGAUGAAUAAUUAAUCUGCUCAAAAGUGUUUUCUUAUUCAGUACAACUAUAAAUCAAUGUAUAGUGAAGCAUGGAAUUGACAAGAUUGUAUAUACUUCAUCUGCUCAAAAGUGUUGAAGCUAUAUAUGUUUGCCCUUGUAUUUUAUGUUUUAGCUAUGCAAACCUAAUAUAAUUAGUUUCUGUCCAAAGAUGAUUCUAGAAUUAUAUGCUUUUGAUGCAUUAGAAAACAUUCAGUUAAAGUUUUCUAUUUCUGUCAAUUGUUAGAUGAACAAAACUGACCAAAUAAUUUUGUAUAGUUUUUCAGUCAUGAGAAUCACUUCCCUACAAAUAUCUAAAAUAAAGAUGUUGAGCUCAUAAAUUUUAUGUUUUAGAUCCCAUGACUAAUGUUUUGCUAAUGGGAGUAUUUGAAAGGUGUCUGUUUCAUUUUAUAGGCAUUUAUAAAGUUUUUUUUUACUCUCUUAAUCAGUGGGAGUAAUAAUUUGUUUAUCUCUACUAAUCAGUGGGAGUAAGAGAUUACCUUUUGUGUUAAAAAUUUGAAGUGUUAGUGGCUGAUAUUUUAAGAGUAAAUUUUGUUUAAGUUUUGUUCAUAAGUUUUAAUAAGAGGUUCUCAUUUUGUAAAUAGUAUGCCGUAUUUUACUCGUUCUCUUAUCAUAUUCUAAAUUGACAGAAAAGUUGGAUGUUGUUACCAACGUUGUUGAGUUCUUUUAUGAACUACUUUUGUACUGAAAUAUAUUUUCAUAUUUUCAGUUCGACUAUUGUGAGCUAAUGUUUUGACUAUUAGCUCUUGACACCAUGACUUAGAUAGCAACAAAGUGCUUUAAGUUGAAUGUGUAUGUGAUCUUGGAGUGCAAGGAACAGACCAAAUUGUUCUUUGUUUUCUUUGGUUCUGCAUUCGAUUCAAAGUGACAGGUUGCUAGGAAAGGUUUAUUGCAUACUUAUGAAGACUCAGUGAUCACCAUGAGUUCUUAUUUUGUUAGGAUGAAUCAUUGACAUUCAAGUGGGAGAAUGUAAGAUUGUGAAUGAUAAUGAAUGUUGUAUUGGAUCGUUUUGUUGUAAGCCACUUGUCUAUCAAGUUGUUAGCAACCAAAGUGAUCCGAUAGUCCUAACAUAAUAAGGAUUAUGGAGUCUAAACCUUUGCAAUUGACUUAAAGAAAUCUGAUGGAUUUCACUACAAAGAUAUAGUAUCAUGGUGGGACUUAAAUACUUAAGUGAUAGGAUUUGAUUUUCACAACCAAUAAUAGGCCGGCUGUGAUUAAACCCUAAUGAUAUAAAUACUAUGGUUAAGUCCCUGCUUCCAUACGCUCAAUCUCUAAAAAUACGCUAAACCCUAUUCACAGCAGAGAGAUAUUUUGAAGUACUGGAAGUAGAAGACGACCAAGAACUCUGCAAUGUCUUCCGUAUUCUACAGAUAAGUUUAAUAUAAUUAGUCGAUCUCUAUUUUAUAUAUUGAUUUGAUUUAUUCGUGAUCCUAAUGUCUUGUUGUUGUGAUUUCAGAAUAUGUCUUACAUGCAUCACACCAAACCCAAAUACCCGUCGGUUCAGAAGAUCGGAGGAGCGGAAUCCUCACUCUCAAUGGUGAUUUCCGACGACCGUAAGGGCUGGAUUUUCCAGCAAGGGGAGGGCCUGAACCUGCGCUCCAGCUGUGUUUUCCGGCGAGGGGAGGGGCGGCCGCCACUCCUCGCCCUCACGUGGCUUCGCCACUGCAUGGACAUAUGAUGUCUUCCUCAGUUUUAGAGGAGAGGAUACCCGCAACAAUUUUGUAGGUCAUCUGUACAAGAAUUUGGUUCAGAAGGGAAUCAAAACCUUCAUAGACGAAGAGGCGCUUCAAAGAGGAGAGGAAAUAUCGUUGGCGCUUCUCAAAGCAAUCGAGCAAUCGAGGAUUUCUCUUGUUGUCUUCUCAGAAAACUACGCUUCCUCACACUGGUGCUUAGAUGAACUCGUUCACAUCUUUCACUGUAAAGAACAACUGCAGCAGAUGGUUUUUCCAGUUUUUUACAAGGUGGAUCCAUCGGAUGUGAGGAGGCAAAGAAAGAGUUUCGGUAAGGCACUUGCUGACCAUGAAAGCAAACUCAAAGAUAACAUGGACAAGGUGUUGAGAUGGAGAGAAACUCUUACGAAAGCAGCAAAUUUGUCUGGCUGGUCAUUCCAGGCAGACGGGUAUUUUUCUGACCUCUAUGUACAAAUAAACUUCAAUUCAUAAGCAUAAUAUGAAGGCUUUUUAGCCAAAAUGGUUUUUCUGAGAUGAGCAUAACUCUUUACUUUGUUCUUCAAGAUUUAAAAUCGAUAGAAGUGGUUCUUGAGAUUGUCCAUCGUCAAUCAUUUUAGUUAUUCCGUGAAAAAAAAAUAUUUGUUAAAUUGAGUGUAUUUUUGUCAAAUCAAUCGCUUCACUUGAACUGGUGGUUUCUCCAGUUUAGUUGAGAUUUCUCACAGAAUGACCAAAGUGAUUAACGGUGGACACUCUCAAGAACCACUUUUAUCGAUUUUAAAUUUCAGUGACCAAAAUGAAGAGUUAUAAGAAUUUCAGCAACUAUUUUAGCUAAAAAGACUAAUAUAAAUAUAUAAUAUUUGAGAAAUGCUAAGGAAACCCUCUCAAAGUGGAACUCUCUUCAUGAGCUCUCUCACACCUCAUAGUUUAAUGUUAGUUUCCUUGCCAACAUUAUAAAAUAUUGUGGCAAAAAAUGAGGUGGCAAAAAGUUCAUAGAGAGUAUCACUUUUGAGAAAUUAUCCUCAGCAUUUUUCAUAAUAUUUUGAUAUUAUUCCCUCACAAUAUUAUAGGAAAACUUGUUUAAGUUAUUCAUUAUUAGUAUGUGAAGCAAACACAUAUUGGAGAAUAUAAUCCCACAUCGGUCAUAUGAUAAAAUAAUAUACAACAAAUAUAUGAGAGUUUGCACUCCUAAUAGAGAAUUUUUGUAGUAAAAUCUAAUACCGAGUAGUAGGAGAUUAAAUUGAGACACUAUUGGUAUUCUUGAUGGUAAAUCAUGUUUGGCCUAUAAAAUUUAUCAACACAUAGCUAAACGCCAUUCAUCCAUACUUAAUAUAUAAUGCCAACAACCCAUUUAGGGUCACGGACUUCACCAAAAAGAAUGCCCCCCCUCUCCAAAUAAAAAAGUUCAAAACCAGUCGAAAUGAAUGCAUAAAAUAGUGCAGAGGCAAUUUUGUCAUAAAAAGAAUUUUUUUAUUGUUUUUUUAUGAUUAGUAUCUUACUAUUACGUGGAAUAUUCAGGAGUUUCUUCUAGCAUGGUCUAAUAUUAUUCAUUUAAUCCAAAUGUUUGACUUUCUUUUUCUUAAGUAGAGUUGUCUGUCUGCUCUUGAAAUAUUGGUUACAUGGAACAUCAACGGAUUUCUUCUAGUUUAAUUAUAAUAAUGUUCUUUUUUAUGCUUUUAAACUUGUAGGCAUGAAUCUAAAUUUAUUCAAAAAAUUGUUGAAGAUAUUUCGGUCCCAGUUUUAGAUAGUACCCAUUUGAAUGUGGCAAGGUAUCCAGUUGGAAUAGAGUCUCGCCGUUCCUCCGACGCCGCACCGCCCGCAACUACCGCCAAUUCUGAUCAAGACCGAGAUCGGGAUAGAGAGAGAGACCGAGACCAAGAUCGAGAUCGCAGUCCUUCAAAGGUGCUGCUUCCGCCCUCGCUUUCUUAGCUGGAAGAUUUGUAGGAUUCGCUUUCUUAUGUAUGCUGUGUUACUGAUUGGUUUGGUGAUGCAGGCACAAGAUUUCAGGCAGCCGGAACCUCAGAUAAGCAUGAAGACUUGUUUGCAGAAGAAGUUUGAAAUAGUUUGCAAAUUCUUAUUCGUUUUGUGUUGGAUCAUCUUCUUAGUAUUUUGGGUCCGUGGCGCCGCACGCAUCGGUUUUUUUAGCGAGUUUUUUCAAUAAAUUGUAAGAGACUUGUUGCAUAUUUAAAUUAACACACAUUAUAUCCUUGUUUCCUAUGUUUUCAGUAUAUUCCAAUGCUUUAUUAUAUAUAUGUCAUUCUAUUUUGUAGUUUAUGAUGAAAUUAUAUAUUGUAAGUAUAAGCAGACAUUUAUUUACACGAAAUAUAAUAGAUUUACUUAAAUCUACCUAGUCCGCUUAGGUGCUCCCUUAGCUGCCUAGGCACUAGGUUCUAAUGCACCGCCCGACUAGCACCUAUCGUCUUUUAGAACCUUGGUUAUGGUAGUGGUGGGAGUUAAAUAGGCGUAUGCCUAGCCUAUGGAGCUCACAAAAAAAAACCAAGGAUAAUUUUUAUUUUGUAUUUCAUUUUUUUAAUAAAAUGGAAGGGACUUUUGAAUGCUUCGAUGAACAUUUAUUAUAUGGUUGCUCAUUAUGUUUUCAGUAUGUUCUAAUACUUUAUAAUUUAUAUUAUUUUAAUUUAUAAUGUAUGUAUUUCAAUACAAUUAUGUAUUUUAAAACAGACCCUGUUAUACACUAUUGGCUUGGUAAUUUGAAUCAAAUCCACACCAUCUCAAUAAAAUUCCAAUCCAUCCCAAUACAUUUGGGUCAAAAGUUGGAGUUGCAAAGCACAGAAAAGACAUAUUUGGGCCUAGUGGGUCUCACGGUGGUGCUUAGAUGAAUCGGUUUGAGUCUGACCGAGUCUGAGUGUUCCCAAAGAAAACGAAUAACUCGGUUCAUGACGAGAGAUUUUUCAGUGCAACCAAAUCAUGAGCCAUACAUUACAUGUCACUAUAUAAAUGAUAAAAUAUGUGUUAAAAAAUUGAUAACUAAAAAUUUAAACUUUCUGCCACUUGCAUAAAAAUACGUGAUCAUUCGGUAUUCCCAUCAUAAUAAAAAAUUUCUAGUCCAUGACAGAAGCGGCACACCUGGGAAGGUUGGUUCGUCACUGAGACUUCAAUAAAUACUUGCAUUUGCCUACACACUUUAUGUGUAUGCACACAUUUUUUUAGAAAAUGAGAAGGAGAGAGGGAGAGAGAGAGAGAAAGAACAUGAGGGAGUGAGAGGUUUUUUUUUUGGUUUAUUUUUUUUUUAAAUUUUAAAUAUUAAAGAUAUUUUAACAUCAUAUAUAGGUAAAGUUUCAAUAAAAAAUAGUAAAAUUUAGACUUGUGAAAUUACAUUAUUAUCUAUCAUUUUUUUUUGUGAUAAAAGACUAAGUUAUUUUUCAUCCUCUUUUGAGACAAACAAGUUUCAUUAAUUAAUAGAGAUUAGAAACCGCAGGAGCUGCCAUUUCCGAUGAUCGAAUGCUUUAGAGAAAGAGAGAUGGCGCGGCAAGAAAGCAAAGAGCCCUGCAAGAAAGAAGCCUGCAACAUUCAAGCAUGCCCCUCCAAGAACAACUUCCUCCCUCAAAAGUACGCCCCUCCGUCCUCUUUUUCCUCCUCUUCUCUUUAUUAUUAUCUGUAUCACUUGUUUGGUUUCCGAGAAAACAUUGUUUGGUUGCCGAGAAAAUAGAGGAACAUUUCUAUCAUCUCCAUUUUCUUUCCCAAGAGUGAAGCUUUAAAAUUCAUGGGUCGAAUCGAAUAUCUUUUCAUUCAAGAACAAUUUUUGUUUAUUUCUCCAUCGUAUUGUAAUUAAUAUAAAAUGCGUUGUGAUUUGAUUUCUAGCUGGUUAGGGGUUUUACCAUUGUGAUUGGCUGCUUGCUUUACAACUUCUGUUUGUUUUACUGUUUCCUGAGCUUUUCAAAAAAUAUAUAAUCUGGCUCUUUUCAAUUUAUACGGUAAGACGGUAAGGGUGUGUUUGUUAGGGAUGAUUGGGUUGGAUAGGAUAAUUGCUAGAUUCAAGGCAUAUCCAAGUUGAAGGUAGAAGACAAGUUACUCAUGAAGGAAAGUUGUCCAUUCGAAUUCCCACAAAAAACUAGGAUUAGAUGGGGUAACUUUCCUCUCUGAUCAUCGUUUUCGACAUUCAACUUGGACAAAUUUGGGAGUUGUGUUGCAUUUUUCCCUUAAAUAUGCCUUGAAUCUAGUGAGUUAUGCUACCCAAGCUAAUCCUCCCUAACAAACGCACCCAAACAGUUUCCACAAGCUGGUUUUCUUAACAAAACUUUCUUUUAGCACCAUGGAGGUAAAUCUAUAAUCUCCAACGAGGAGGAAUUGAACCGAUACUUGUGGAUGCAGUCUAGCUGUACUGACUUGAAGUUCUAUAAUCUCUCAGCAUCUCAUCCUUUUUCGUAAUCGAAUGAUCAUGGAUUCAACGACCAAUGAAGGAGCCUCUUCCUCUUCGUCUUCUUCUUACACCCAUUCAUGGACAUAUGAUGUCUUCCUCAGUUUUAGAGGAGAGGAUACCCGCAACAAUUUUGUUGGUCAUCUGUACAACAAUUUGGUUCGGAAGGGAAUCAAAACCUUCAUAGACGACGAGGCGCUUAAAAGAGGAGAGGAAAUAUCGGCAGCGCUUCUCAAAGCAAUCGAGCAGUCGAGGGUUUCUGUUGUUGUCUUCUCCGAAAACUACGCUUCCUCAGAGUGGUGCUUAGAUGAACUCGUUCACAUCUUUCACUGUAAAGAACAACUGCAGCAGAUGGUUUUUCCAGUUUUUUACAAGGUGGAUCCAUCGGAUGUGAGGAACCAAACAAAGAGUUUGGGCAAGGCACUUGCUCACCAUGAAAGCAAACUCAAAGAUAACAUGGACAAGGUGUUGAGAUGGAGAGAAACUCUUACAAAAGCAGCAAAUUUGUCUGGCUGGUCAUUCCUGGCCGACGGGUAUUUUUCUGACCUCUAUGUACUAAUAAGCUUCAAUUCAUAAGCAUAAUACGAAGACUUUUUAGCCAAAAUGAUUUUUCUAUGAUGAGCAUAAUUCUUUACUUUGUUCUUUAAGAUUUUAAAUCGAUAGAAAUGGUUCUUGAGAUAUCCAUCGUCAAUCAUUUUGGUUAUUCUGUGAAAAAAAUCUCAAUUUGUUAAAUCAAUCACUCCACUUGAACUGGUGGUUUCUCCAGUUUAGCUGAGAUUUCUCACAGAAUGACCAAAGUGAUUAACAGUGGACACUCUCAAGAACCAUUUUUAUCGAUUUUAAAUUUCAAUGACCAAAAUGAAGAGUUAUAACAAUUUCAGCAACUAUUUUAGUUAAAAAGACUAACAUAAAUAUAUAAUAUUUGAGAAAUGCUAAGGAAACCUCUCAAAGUGGAACUCUCUUCAUGAGUUCUCUCACACCUCAUAGUUUAAUGUUAGUUCUCUUGCCAACAUUAUAAAAUAUUGUGGCAAAAAAUAAGGUGGCAAAAAGUUCAUAGAGAGUAUCACUUUUGAGAAAUUAUCCUUAGCAUUUUUCAUAAUAUUUUGAUAUUAUUCCCUCACAAUAUUAUAGGAAAACUUGUUUAAGUUAUUCAUUAUUAGUAUGUGAAGCAAACACAUAUUGGAGAAUAUAAUCUCACAUCGGUCAUAUGAUAUAAUAAUAUAUAACAAAUAUAUGAGAGUUUGCACUCCUAAUAGAGAAUUUUUGAAGUAAAAUCUAAUACCGAGUAGUAGGAGAUUAAAUUGAGACACUAUUGGUAAUCUUAAAAGAAUUUUUUUAUGAUUAGUAUCUUACUAUUACGUGGAAUAUCCAAAGGUUUCUUCUAGCAUGGUUUAAUAUUAUUUAUUUAGUCCAAAUGUUUGACUUUCUAUUUCUUAAGUAGAGUUAUUUGUCUGCACUUGAAAUAUUGAUUACAUGGAACAUUCACGGAUUUCUUCUAGUUUAAUUAUAAUAAUGUUAUUUUUUAUGCUUUUAAACUUGUAGGCCUGAAUAUAAAUUUAUUCAAAAAAUUAUUGAAGAUAUUUCGGUCCAAGUUUUAGAUAGUACCCAUUUGAAUGUGGCAAAGUAUCCAGUCGGAAUACAGUCUCGUGUCAAACAAUCCAGUUCGGUUUUUUUGGAUCUUGGAUCUGCUCCUGUCCUCGAUCGCGAGCAAUUCGAGAGAGACCGAGAUCGAGAUCGCAGUCCUUCAAAGGUGCUGCUUCCGCCCUCGCUUUCUUAGCUGGAAGAUUUGUAGGAUUCGCUUUCUUAUGUAUGCUGUGUUACUGAUUGGUUUGGCGAUGCAGGCACAAGAUUUUAGGCAGCCGAAAACUCAGAUAAGCAGCAAGAUGAGUCUGAGGAAGAAGUUUGAAAUAGUUUGCAAAUUCUUAACCGUUUUGUAUUACAUCAUCAUCGUAGUACUUGUGGCCAGACACCACGAUUUUUUUAGGGAAAUUUUUAUAGAAAGUAUAAUAAAUUUACCUAAAGUUGUCUAGUCCGCUUAAGUGCCCCUAGCCGCCUAGGCACAAGGUUCUAAUCCAUCGCCCUACUAGCGCCUAUCGUCUUUUAGAACUUUAGUUAUAUUAGUGGUGGGAGUUAAAUAGGCGUAUGCCUAGCCUAUGGAGCUCGCGAAAUAAAGGGAUAAUUUUUAUUUUGUAUUUCAUUUUUUUAAUAAAAUGAAAGAGACUUUUGAAUACUUCGAUGAACAUUUAUUAUAUGGUUGCUCACUAUGUUUUCAGUCGGUUCUAAUUUUUUAUCAUUUAUGUUAUUUUAAUUUGCAAUGUAUGUAUCUCAAUACAAUUAUGUAUUUUAAAACAGACCUCGUUAUGCACUAUCGGCUUGGUAAUUUGAAUCAAAUCCACACCAUCUCAAUAAAAUUCCAAUCCAUCCCAAUACAUUUGGGUCAAAAGAUGAGUUGCAAAGCAUAGUAAAGACAUAUUUUGGCCCAGUGGGUUUCAAAUUUUUUUGGCCCAGCCCUUUAUCAAAAAUGAAUUUUGUAUCAAAACGGAUUAUGUUUUGACAUAUAGUCAUUUGGCCGGUUCUGUUGGAAAUUGCCUUAGCUUUGUUAUUUUAGGCUGACAUCAUAGUGGCUUUUAAGUGAAAAUGAUUCGAAAAUGGUUCAAUUUUCACAUUGACCCUCUACUCUACCCUUUACAAAAGUUCACAAAAUUUACAUUAGCAAGAAAGACACACCAAAACCAAUACGCGCUAAAAUUACCGUAAACUCCCUCCAUGACAACUCUAACUGGCACAAUUUCAACGAAGGUAAUAUAUCUCCCAACCCAAAUGAUAUAAUAAAGUAAUUCCGGAUAUAAAUGAUAGAAAAAGUAAAAUGAGACAUAAUAUAGAAAGGUAAAAUUAGAAAUUUUGUGGAACUAGAGGAACACUUGUUUCAAUUGUAUUCAUUAUUAGAAUGUGAAUCAAACACAUGUUGGAGAAUGGGAUUUCACAUCCGUCAUAAUCACAUGACAAAAUAUGUGCUAUUAAUAUAUGGAAGUUUCAACACCUAAUAUCAACGAGAUUUUUGUAAUAAAAUCUAACACCUAGUAAUAAGAGAUAAAAUUGAGACAAUAUCAUAAUGUUGAUGGUGGACUAUGUUCCACCUAUGAAGUUUAUCAACACAUAGCUAAAUGUCAUUUAUCUAAAUAUAAUAAUGUUCUUUUUUUGGCCUUUAAACUUGUAGGCAUGAAUCUAAAUUUAUUCAAAAAAUUGUUGAAGAGAUUUCGGUCCAAGUUUUAGAUAGCUCCUAUCUGAAUGUGGCGAAGUACCCGGUUGGAGUAGAGUAUCGUGUCAAUCAAUCCGGUUCGGUUUGUUUCGAUUUUCGAUAUGCUCCUGUCCUCACUUGCCAGCAAUUAGAGCAGUUCCAGCCUUGCAUAUAGGCCGGGGGACAGGGGAGAAGAAAGGGCCCGAGGGCCUGUCAAUCACGUCCAGCCUUGAAGGGCCCGAGCUCGUGGAGAAGGCCCGAGCAGGGGCCUGUCAAUUUGUGACAGCCCCGGAGCCCGAGCUCCAUGCCCAUUUUUUAUUUUUUUCUGUCAGGCGCGUGCACCCCACUCGCGAGUGGGGGCGCGUCGCCCGACCAGUUUUCAGAAAAGUCAGCCGACUUUUCAGACAGAAAAGUUACCGUUGGGAAGACACGUGGCUUCCCACGGUCCGUUCGAUCUCAACGACUCCUUCAUUUGGACCGUUGAAUCUCAACGGUAAAAAAAAAAAAUCUAAUUUAAUAUCAACCGUUCGAUCUGAGAUCAACGGUCGAUAUUAAUAUGCUUUAUAAAUAAAGAAAAAAUAGUUUUAAAAUUAAGAAAAGUUACCGUUGUGACACGUGGCACAAUCUGGAGUGUUGGAAUUCAAAUUUUUUUAAAUCCAACGGCAGAGAUUAAUUAUUUGAAUAAAAAUUAAAAAAAAUGGAAAAAAUCCGAAAAAAAAUUGUAAAAAAUCUGAAAAAAAAUUGUAAAAAAUUGUUUUUACUUUUCUAUAAAUACCACUUCUUCUCCAUCUACCUUACACCACAAUUUCAUAUUUUCUCAACUACUUUCAAUCAAAUUCCUAUCUUUCUCUCAAAGUUUCAAUCCAAUUUUUUUCCACAAAAUGACUAUUGAUGCAGGUACGAAUUGGUCGCUUCUUGAAGAUGUUGCGUUGUGCACUAGCUGGGUUGAAGUUACUCAUAAUUCCCUUACGGGUAAUGAGAUGCAGUUGCGAGAAAUGUGGAGUUUAAUUCAUACCAAAUAUCUUGAGCAAAUGAGUGGGAAAAGAACCAAAGAAUCGAUGUCCAGUCGUUAGAAAAUACUUAGCCAUUCCUUUAGUACAUGGAGAGAUGCAUUGACACAAGCUAGUAGUAAUGUUCGAAGUGGGGCAAAUUAUGCGGAUGAGGUAAGAAUAUAUUAUAAUUAUUUGUUUGUAUUAUUAUUUUGUUACCUAAUUUGAUUAUAAUUAUUUGUUUGUAUUAUUUAUUUGUUACCUAAUUUCAUUAUUAUUAUUAUUUGUUUGCAUUAUUUAUUUGUGACCUAAUUUCAAUAUUAUUAUUUGUUUGUAUUAUUUAUUUGUUACCUAAUAAUUUCAUUAUUAUUAUUUGUUUGUAUUAUUUAUUUGUUACCUAAUAAUUUCAUUAUUAUUAUUUAUUUGUAUUAUUUAUUUGUUACCUAAUUUCAUUAUUAUAAUUAUUUGUUUGCAUUAUUUAUUUGUGACCUAAUUUCAUUAUUAUUAUUUGUUUGAAUUAUUUAUUUGUGACCUAAUUUCAUUAUUAUUAUUUGUUUUUAUUAUUUAUUUGUGGCCUAAUUUCAUUAUUAUUAUUUGUUUGUAUUAUUUAUUUGUUACCUAAUAAUUUUAUUAUUAUUAUUUGUUUGUAUUAUUUAUUUGUUACCUAAUAAUUUCAAUAUUAUUAUUUGUAGCAACUUCAAGCACAAGCAUGGUAUGCUGCCAAAAUCAAAUCAAGAAACAAAUCAUUCACCCGAUGGGAAUGUUGGAAUAUUGUUAAAGAUUGUCCUAAAUUCAAAGUUGUGCCUGUUGGUCCAGAAGUAUGCAUGAACAACAUCCCUCUACACAGCACCUUUGUACACAACACCCCUCCACACUCUACACCCGAUCAUGGCUCCCAUGUUGAUGAAGAAGAUGGAGAAGAAGUGCCUGAAACGCCCAUUCCAGAACAAGCGUCGGGGUCGACCCGUUAUCCAAUUAGGCAUCAAGGUAAGAAGGCUUCAAAGAGGAAAGGGAGUGCUUCCAAGAAUGAUUAUGGAAAGUUUAUGCAAGAACUUGCUCGUCAAGGUGAAUUGACAUUGGCGCGGGAAUUGGCGAAAUAUGAGGCUGAUAAGGCUAGAGAUGAGGUAAAAGCUGCAGCUAUUCAACAAGCAUUUCAAGCUAAACAGAGGGAAAAAGAGCUACUUAGGCAAGAAAGGGAGUUGCUUAGAGAAGAAAGAAUUGCACAACGAGAUCGUGACAUUAUGAACAUGCGUUUAGAAGGGAUGUCUCCAAAUUCUAAAUAUUUUUGGCAGGCGUGCAAGAGAAGCGAGAUCAAGACAAGAUGGUCUUAGCACAACAAGACAAGAUGAUCCUAGCACCACAGAUUAGUUAAGUGGUGAGGAAUAGGGUACUUUUGUAAUCGGAGCCCAUAGUUUUCCAAUCACUUUGGGUUGUAAUUUAUUAUUUAUGUUGUUUCCAUGUAAUCGGAAUAGGGUACUUUUGUAAUCGGAAUAGGGUACUUAUGUAAUUUAUUAUUUAUGUUGUUUCUAUUUUAUUGAAGUUAGUACUUUAUUAAAAGUGAGAGUACAUAUAUUUAAUUUCGUAAUAUAUUUAUCCUAAUAACAGAAUCUUUAUUCAUCAAAUUGUUCACGUAUAAUGAAAUUAUAAAACACACCAAAUAAAACUAAAAAACUCACCAAUUGGAAUUACAUAAACACACCAAAUAAAAUUACAUAAACAUACGAAAUAAUAAAAAACUCACUACAAAAAACACACCAAAUAAAAUUACAUAAACAUACCAAAUAAUUCACACCAAAUAAAAUUACAUAAACAUACGAAAUAAUAAAAAACUCACUACAAAAAACACACCAAAUAAAAUUACAUAAACACACCAAAUACAAACAAACAUACUAAAUAAACUUAAGUAUUUUCAGCUUGUUUCAAUGCCCACUGGUGCUCUAUCAAGUCAAUUUGCCGAUCAAUGUGCAUAGAUGACCUUUGAAGUGCAGUAUAUCGUUGAAUGACCUUUUCAUUGUAACGUCCAUCCCUUUCUAAUGGGUCGUGUUGCACGGGUUCUUCAGUGGCAUCAUGCGCACAAUAUAUCCGUGUUCUUGAAUUGUUCAUCGUGUCUGGCUCUGGCUCAUAUUCAUCAACCGCAUCAUAAUCGAACUCAUCUUCCACAAUCAUGUUGUGAAGAAUGACGCACGUCAUCAUGAUGGAUCGAAGUGACUCUACAUCGAACAUUCUGGCAGCACCCCUGACGAUCGCCCAACGAGCUUGAAGGAUACCAAAACAAUGCUCCACAUCUUUCCUGCACCCCUCUUGACAGCUUGCAAAGUGUUUUUCCUUUGCACUUCGUGGACGUGGCACUGUUUUGACAAAUGUUUCCCACCGUGGGUAAAUGUCGUCAGCUAGGUAGUAUGCCCCUUCGUACCUACGUUCGUUGACGACGUACGUGACUUUUGGUGCCUUUCCUUGCAGGACGUCGUUGAACACUGGGGAUUGGGCAAGGACGUUGAGAUCAUUUUGAGCCCCCGGAACCCCGAAAAAGGCGUGCCAUAUCCAUGUAUCAAAAGAUGCCACUGCCUCCAAAAUGAUAGAUUUUGAUCCUUUUCUUUCCCCAUAUGCGCCUUGCCAUGCACUUGGACAGUUUUUCCACGUCCAGUGCAUACAAUCGAUGCUUCCUAUCAUCCCAGGAAAACCUCGCAUCUCGCCCUUCUUCAGAAGCCUUUGCAAGUCCCAGCGAGUAGGUUUUCGGAGGUACUCUGCGGUGUACAAAGAUUCGACUGCUCCGCAAAACCUCAUCAGGGCCUCAAGAAUGGUUGAUUUCCCCAUCCUCGUUAUCUCAUCCACUUGGUCUGCAGAUGCUCCAUACGCAAGCAUCCACAACGCAGCAGUGAUUUUUUGCUCAGGCAGGAGACCCAUAACACCACAAGCAUCCUUCUUUUGCACAAAGUAAGAAUCAUGGUUGCAAACAUCAGUCAUGAUUUUGUUGAACAAAUGUCGUUCCAUUCUAAAAUGGCGUCUGAAGUACGUAUCAGGAAAUGCACUGUUAUGGACAAAGUAAUCGUCCAACAGCUCUUCACCCCGUCGUUGCCUGCUUCUAUCAAGGUUUCUUGAACGGUUGGGCCUGCAUAUAUGAGCAACAGUCUGGAUGACUCGACGGGAAUGUGAGGCUCUGGUCAUUCUUGUUUCGUCAUCUCUCCUUCUACGUUCCUCAUCCUCUUCCAUCUCAUUUUCGGCUAUCUGAAGGUUGAACAUUCCUUCAGAUUGGUUAAACAAUUCUUCCUCUUGCUGAUCGAUUUCCCACAUCAUCCUUGAUGAAGAAGAAGACAUUGUAAUGAUGGAUGGAGAAGAAGAAGCAGAAACUAUGAAUAAUGAGAUAGAGAUGUUGAGAAAAUUGGUGUGAGAUUUGUGAGGAUGGAUGGUGGAUUAUAUGGACGAUUCAGAAAGGAUCGGAUUGUAGAUAAGGCCACGUGGCAUGCCGUCAUUCGUUAAAAAUCUGAUCGAAAUCUAUCCUCAAAGAUUCUGAAAAGAUAAUGACACGUGGCACGAUCGUAUUAGAUAAAAAUCUUAUCGAAAUCGAUCUCCAAUAAUUAUAUUUUCGGAUAAUGACAUGUUGCGCAAUUUUGAACGAGUUAAAAUCUGAUCGAAAUCUAUCGUCAAAGAUUCUCAAAAGAUAACGACACGUGACACGAUGACAUUGGAUAAAAAUCUUAUCGAAAUCCAUCGCUAAAUAAUUGUUUUUUUUAUAAAAUGACACGUGACGCAACGAGAACGAUUUAAAAAAUCUUAUCCGAAAUUACAAAUAAUUUUAUUUUGUAUUAUUUAAACAAACAAAAAAACUAAUAUUUUAUUGCCUAUUGCCAGGGGGAGGGCUCCAAAGGUGAAGAUGCAAAUGGCAAUUACUGUUCAUUUAUGGUAGUUACUAUUCAUUAAAGGCAGUUACUGUUCAAAAUGGUGGAUUCACUAGUGGAUUGCCAGGGGGAGGGCUCCAUGGGUGGAGUUGCUCGCCAUCCAACGCCAUCAAGAACAAACCGAGGAUCAAAAGGGCCACCAGCACCUUCCCCUCUCCAGUCUCUCCCACCCGUGUCGUUCCUCUGACGCCGCACCACCCGCAACCACCACCAAUUCUGACCGAGACCGAGACCGAGACCGAGAUCGGGAUAGAGAUAGAGACAGAGAUCGAGAUCGCAGUCCUUAAUCGUGCUGCUUCCGCCCUCGCUUACUCAGGUGGAAGAUUUGGUAGUAUUGGCUUCGAUCACUGUCGCAGUCCUUCAAUGGUUGCCAUUGUGGCUGCUUUGAUCCUUAAAAAUUGUAUUUUGAUUUGAGUUUUGACAGUGGUUUCUGUGCACACAUCUGUUUAUUUUAGGUGAUGAC